rnacentral:misc_RNA from 1 species
UAUUUAUAAUAGUAAACUUCACGUUGAGAGCUGUUUACUAAAUAAUUUUCAUGUUUACCUUUUCAAAGGAAAUUCAAGCUCGAUUAGAUGGAAAAAGGAAGUUUUUAGUAAUAACAUAAACUAAAAUAAGAUAAGGAUAAUAUUCAAGAAGAUUUGCAAACUUAGCUACUUGGUCUUAUUAAAUGUGAUUCAAUUGUUCAUAUUACUUUAUUAUUUAUAUAAUAAUUACUCUAACUAAUUUUUAGGAAAAGAUUGUUUUUCAUUCUUUAAGGUUUUAAAGACAAAAUUUAUAAUUUUAUUUUAGGAGUAGAAUUAGGCCUUUGGACUUUAUAUAAGAUAAAAACAGCUGUCUUUGAGAAGGAAAAGAGAGGUUCGAUUGCAAUUUUACGUGGCUAUUAGAGAAAAAUUUAACAAUAUACAUAAUAUGGAUCCUUCAGAAGAAAACUUUUCCCAAGUUGACAGAGGAGGUUAGUUCGUAUUACUUACCAGUAUACCAAAAAAAAUACAUAUAUUUUGUGAAAUAAUGCUUUACGAUCACACGGGAUAAAUAAUAAGGUAUUUUACUGUUUAGAAUAUCGUAGAAGUCGUUUAUAAUGAUCAUUAUGUUCUUCGUAUUUUACAACUGAUAAAGCAUCUUAUAAAAUGAAAUAUAUCCACAAAAUCUUUAUUAACAUAUUUAAGAUGUUUUAAAUAAUACAUAGACAUUAUUAUCCAUUAUUUCUUGUAGCCUAGUCAUGAUGAAAUAUUUAUUUAAUUUUAAUAUUAUAUCAAGGAUAAUCUAACGACCCAUUUCAAAUAUUCCCGGUAGGACUUGUACUCAGUAUAAUUUUACAUAUGUAUAUAUUUGACUUCAUAUCUACUUUAACUCUUUUGAUAAUGGCUAUCGAAAGUGAAAUAAAACUUUUAAACAAAAUAUUAUCAAUUCUAAAAGGCCUAGGCAAUUUAACUAAGAUUAAUCAACGAUAACCCAGUGAAAGUUAAUGAUCUGUGAAAGGCUUAAAGCUUUAGUCUCCUGUGAAUAGUGGAAGCAUUCGUUAGAGCUGUAAAAAUUAACCCAGAGGUUGACUUACUGAAGAAAAGUUUGAAUAUUGGGGAUUUUCUCUCAGAAAGAUAACUCGUUGAUUUCUCUUGCCAAUAUAUAAUUAUGUUAUUUUAGGCAUACAACUUCCAAUCUCGAAAAUAUGUAUCAAGAAUCUGGAAACAGUAUAACAAGUGAUCUGAUCGAAUAUGGAAGUGAUUUUGCUGCGGGAUUAGCAGGAGGAUGCGCUGGUUUGACUUUUGGACAUCCUUUCGACACCAUAAAGGUUCGACAACAGACAAUGGGCGACAAAUGCGGUACUAUAUUAAAUUGCUUAAAAAGAUCAUUGGAAUUGGAAGGGCCUAAAGGUCUAUUCAAAGGAAUGGCCUUCCCACUCGUGUCAGUUGGCUUUCUAAAUAGUAUCUUUUUUGGUGUGUACGGAAACGCUCUAAAGUUUAUAGAUAACGGUGAUAAGGAACCUUCAUACUCGUCAAUUUUCAUGUCUGGCGCUUUUGCGGGGGCUAUACAAGCUGUUCCCGCUUCUACGAUAGAGCUAGUCAAAGUUAAACUUCAAGGUCAAAUAGGCAGAAAUGAAUUCAAGGGGCCUUUCGAUUGCCUUCGACGCAUCUAUAAAAAUCAUGGAAUACGUGGAUGUUUUCGUGGAUUGACACCAACAAUUUUGAGGGACAUGCCGGGUUUUGGAGUGUAUAUUGCAUCUUAUCAAGCUAUGUGUGAUUUUGCGACGCCAGAGGGUCAUCAUCAACCAUCAGUAAGAGCUAUGUUGUUAUCUGGCGGAUUGGGGGGAGUAUUUUCGUGGAUCGUUAACAUCCCAAUUGAUAUAGUGAAGAGUCGCCUCCAGGCUGACAAUCUUUCUAAUCCUAAGUACAAAAGUUCUUGGGACUGUGUUCAACAAAGUUAUAGAAAUAAUGGGUGGAGAGUAUUUUGGAGAGGUUUACCUGUUUCUUGCCUCAGGGCUUUCCCUGUCAACUCAGUUACUUUCGUUGUCUAUUCUCAAACACUAGCUUACAUUCAGAGGACAAACGGUCAGCGUCAAACUGUCUGAAAAUACUGGGAUUCAAAAAGAAUUGUAGAAUACUGCAAAAAAGAUAAAAUACAACUAAUCAAGACAAUAGACAUAUAUGCGAUUGAGAAUAUAUUUCAUUGUAUUAUAUUUAUUUAUGAAAAUCUAUUCAUAAAUUACAUGUGUAUGUGCGGAUGGAAAACCAAGAGGCCAAUAUGCAAUAUGAACUGACUUUGUUGUAUUGUCAAAAUAAAUUUGAUAUUAAUUUUAUAAUUUCCAUAUACAUAUAUGUAAUGAAAUUCUAUAAAAAAUUUAUUCUAACCAAAUAGAUUGUUACUUAAACGAUGGUCUUCCUAGAAGCCUGAAUAUUAAUAUAAUUUUUAACUUUGAACUUGAGACCUUAUGAAAAAUAUGAGUUAUCGCAAAUUAGGCUAAAUUAUAUUAGAAAAUAUUCGUGACGUAUCAAUGAUAAAUAUCUAAUAAAGCCUUUUCACUUUAUAAGAUUAUUAGUG